AUCCAGAUGACGAGUCCCGGAUAGGACGAAAUUCGCGUUAUCCUGGAU
rfam:Trichobilharzia regenti genome assembly, scaffold: TRE_scaffold0003375